rnacentral:pre_miRNA from 1 species
UUUUAGUUGUUGGAUACCAUGCUCGACUCUUCGUCUUAUUUAAAAAUUUUUUCGAUUAAUAUUUGUAUUGUUAGUAGAAGAUAAAACAUGAAUAGUAGCUUAUGCGUGACUAAUUUUUUUAAGUUUUUAACAAAAUUUUGAAAUAAGACUAAUGGUCAAACGUUGAGCACUAAAAUC